rnacentral:rRNA from 1 species
UACGUAGGGUGCGAGCGUUGUCCGGAAUUAUUGGGCGUAAAGAGCUCGUAGGCGGUUUGUUGCGUCUAUCGUGAAAACCUGCAGCUUAACUGUGGGCUUGCGGUGGAUACGGGCAGACUUGAGUUCGGUAGGGGAGACUGAAAUUCCUGGUGUAGCGGUGAAAUGCGCAGAUAUCAGGAGGAACACCGGUGGCGAAGGCGGGUCUCUGGGCCGAUACUGACGCUGAGGAGCGAAAGCGUGGGGAGCGAACAGG